rnacentral:rRNA from 1 species
UGUUAUUUUGGCUCUUGGCACUCAUGCCAUGAAACGGCUGACGCUGGUGUCUAUGUAUUGCUGAUGCAGUUGUGACAAACGUCCGUGGCUGUAGAUGAGGUGAUACGGUAGGACUUUACACACAUUGUGAAGUUUAAGACUUAAUGAGCCCUCCGGGGACGCCAGCACCUCUUUUUUCUAUUACAAUUUUUUAAAAAACGAGAAAUAUUCUAGUCUCAUCGGUGGAUCACUCGGCUCGUGGAUCGAUGAAGAACGCAGCUAGCUGCGAUAUCUGGUGUGAACCGCAGAAACAUUGAACAUUUAAUCUUUGAAUGCGAAUUGCGCUAAUGAAGUCAAAUUCGUUGGCACGUCUGGUUCAGGGUCAUUUCCAACAAUUGCAUUGCAAUUUAUUGAACCUUUCAUUUAUGGCAGUGAGAGAAACUAGCAGUUGUAUUAACGAAUGUGUGUUACAAAGUUGGCGGAAAUAGGAAAUUCCAAUGCCUCUUCAUCAACAAGAUAUACAAUUUUGACCUGAAC